AGGCCGAAAGGCGUAGUCGAUGGGAAAUUGGUUAAUAUUCCAAUACUUCUGUGUAAUGCGAUGAGAGGACGGAGAAGGUUAAGUCAGCCUGGCGUUGGUUGUCCAGGUGGAAGGAUGUAGGUAUGUAUCUUAGGCAAAUCCGGGGUACUCUAUACUGAGAUCCGAUAGCAAGCUGUACUUGUACAGUGAAGUGGCUGAUACCAUGCUUCCAGGAAAAGUCUCUAAGCUUCAGUUACACAGGAAUCGUACCCGAAACCGACACAGGUGGUCAGGUCGAGUAGACCAAGGCGCUUGAGAGAACUCUGCUGAAGGAACUAGGCAAAAUGGUACCGUAACUUCGGGAGAAGGUACGCUGUUGUUGGUGAUGGAACUUGCUUCCUGAGCUGACGACAGCCGCAGAAACCAGGCCGCUGCAACUGUUUAUUAAAAACAUAGCACUCUGCAAACACGAAAGUGGACGUAUAGGGUGUGAUGCCUGCCCGGUGCUGGAAGGUUAAUUGAUGGGGUUAGCGUAAGCGAAGCUCUUGAUCGAAGCCCCAGUAAACGGCGGCCGUAACUAUAACGGUCCUAAGGUAGCGAAAUUCCUUGUCGGGUAAGUUCCGACCUGCACGAAUGGCAUAAUGAUGGCGGCGCUGUCUCCAGCAGAGGCUCAGUGAAAUCGAAAUCGCUGUGAAGAUGCAGUGUACCCGCGGCUAGACGGAAAGACCCCGUGAACCUUUACUGCAGCUUGACACUGAACUUUGACCUUACUUGUGUAGGAUAGGUGGGAGGCUUUGAAGUUGGAACGCUAGUUCCAAUGGAGCCGUCCUUGAAAUACCACCCUGGUAAUGUUGAGGUUCUAACUCUGUCCCGUUAUCCGGGACGAGGACCGUGUCUGGUGGGUAGUUUGACUGGGGCGGUCUCCUCCUAAAGAGUAACGGAGGAGUACGAAGGUGCGCUCAGCGUGGUCGGAAAUCACGCGUAGAGUAUAAAGGCAAAAGCGCGCUUAACUGCGAGACCCACAAGUCGAGCAGGUACGAAAGUAGGUCUUAGUGAUCCGGUGGUUCUGUAUGGAAGGGCCAUCGCUCAACGGAUAAAAGGUACUCUGGGGAUAACAGGCUGAUACCGCCCAAGAGUUCAUAUCGACGGCGGUGUUUGGCACCUCGAUGUCGGCUCAUCUCAUCCUGGGGCUGAAGCAGGUCCCAAGGGUAUGGCUGUUCGCCAUUUAAAGAGGUACGCGAGCUGGGUUUAGAACGUCGUGAGACAGUUCGGUCCCUAUCUACCGUGGGCGCUGGAAAUUUGAGAGGAUCUGCUCCUAGUACGAGAGGACCAGAGUGGACGAACCUCUGGUGUACCGGUUGUGACGCCAGUCGCAUCGCCGGGUAGCUAUGUUCGGAAGGGAUAACCGCUGAAAGCAUCUAAGCGGGAAGCCUACCUCAAGAUAAGAUUUCCCUAGGAAUUUAUUCCUCUAAAGAGCCGUUCGAGACUAGGACGUUGAUAGGUUGGAUGUGGAAGCAUAGUGAUAUGUGAAGCUGACCAAUACUAAUUGCUCGUGAGGCUUGACUAUACAACACCCAAGCAGUUG
rnacentral:rRNA from 1 species